UACGUAGGGGGCAAGCGUUGUCCGGAUUUACUGGGCGUAAAGAGCGCGCGGGCGGUCGUUCAAGUCGAGUGUGAAAGCCCCCGGCUCAACUGGGGAGGGUCACUCGAUACUGAUCGACUCGAAGGCAGGAGAGGGAAGUGGAAUUCCCGGUGUAGUGGUGAAAUGCGUAGAUAUCGGGAGGAACACCAGUGGCGAAGGCGACUUCCUGGCCUGUUCUUGACGCUGAGGCGCGGAGGCUAGGGGAGCAAACGGG
rnacentral:rRNA from 1 species